rnacentral:tRNA from 2 species
CGGGGCGUGGCUCAGCUAGGUAGAGCGCUCGGCUGGGGGUCGAGAGGUCGCAAGUUCAAAUCUUGUCGCCCCGA